GGGUUGUGAGGUUAAGCGACUAAGCGUACACGGUGGAUGCCCUGGCAGUCAGAGGCGAUGAAGGACGUGCUAAUCUGCGAUAAGCGUCGGUAAGGUGAUAUGAACCGUUAUAACCGGCGAUUUCCGAAUGGGGAAACCCAGUGUGAUUCGUCACACUAUCAUUAACUGAAUCCAUAGGUUAAUGAGGCGAACCGGGGGAACUGAAACAUCUAAGUACCCCGAGGAAAAGAAAUCAACCGAGAUUCCCCCAGUAGCGGCGAGCGAACGGGGAGCAGCCCAGAGCCUGAAUCAGUGUGUGUGUUAGUGGAAGCGUCUGGAAAGGCGCGCGAUACAGGGUGACAGCCCCGUACACAAAAAUGCACAUAUUGUGAGCUCGAUGAGUAGGGCGGGACACGUGGUAUCCUGUCUGAAUAUGGGGGGCCCAUCCUCCAAGGCUAAAUACUCCUGACUGACCGAUAGUGAACCAGUACCGUGAGGGAAAGGCGAAAAGAACCCCGGCGAGGGGAGUGAAAAAGAACCUGAAACCGUGUACGUACAAGCAGUGGGAGCACGCUUAGGCGUGUGACUGCGUACCUUUUGUAUAAUGGGUCAGCGACUUAUAUUCUGUAGCAAGGUUAACCGAAUAGGGGAGCCGAAGGGAAACCGAGUCUUAACUGGGCGUUAAGUUGCAGGGUAUAGACCCGAAACCCGGUGAUCUAGCUAUGGGCAGGUUGAAGGUUGGGUAACACUAACUGGAGGACCGAACCGACUAAUGUUGAAAAAUUAGCGGAUGACUUGUGGCUGGGGGUGAAAGGCCAAUCAAACCGGGAGAUAGCUGGUUCUCCCCGAAAGCUAUUUAGGUAGCGCCUCGUGAAUUCAUCUCCGGGGGUAGAGCACUGUUUCGGCAAGGGGGUCAUCCCGACUUACCAACCCGAUGCAAACUGCGAAUACCGGAGAAUGUUAUCACGGGAGACACACGGCGGGUGCUAACGUCCGUCGUGAAGAGGGAAACAACCCAGACCGCCAGCUAAGGUCCCAAAGUCAUGGUUAAGUGGGAAACGAUGUGGGAAGGCCCAGACAGCCAGGAUGUUGGCUUAGAAGCAGCCAUCAUUUAAAGAAAGCGUAAUAGCUCACUGGUCGAGUCGGCCUGCGCGGAAGAUGUAACGGGGCUAAACCAUGCACCGAAGCUGCGGCAGCGAUGCUUAUGCGUUGUUGGGUAGGGGAGCGUUCUGUAAGCCUGCGAAGGUGUGCUGUGAGGCAUGCUGGAGGUAUCAGAAGUGCGAAUGCUGACAUAAGUAACGAUAAAGCGGGUGAAAAGCCCGCUCGCCGGAAGACCAAGGGUUCCUGUCCAACGUUAAUC
rnacentral:rRNA from 1 species